rnacentral:rRNA from 1 species
GUGUCAGCCGCCGCGGUAAUACGGGGGGUGCAAGCGUUGUUCGGAAUUAUUGGGCGUAAAGAGCGUGUAGGCGGCUGAGCAAGUCAGAUGUGAAAGCCCCGGGCUUAACCCGGGAAGUGCAUUUGAAACUGUUCGGCUUGAGUAAGGGAGAGGAAAGUGGAAUUCCUGGUGUAGAGGUGAAAUUCGUAGAUAUCAGGAGGAACACCGGCGGCGAAGGCGACUUUCUGGCCCUAUACUGACGCUGAGACGCGAGAGCGUGGGUAGCAAACAGGAUUAGAUACCCUGGUAGUCCACGCCGUAAACGAUGUUCACUAGGUGUUGGGGGUAUUGACCCUCUCAGUGCCGCAGCUAACGCAUUAAGUGAACCGCCUGGGGAGUACGGUCGCAAGAUUAAAACUCAAAUGAAUUGACGG